rnacentral:rRNA from 1 species
AGCGGACAGAUGGGAGCUUGCUCCCUGAUGUUAGCGGCGGACGGGUGAGUAACACGUGGGUAACCUGCCUGUAAGACUGGGAUAACUCCGGGAAACCGGGGCUAAUACCGGAUGGUUGUCUGAACCGCAUGGUUCAGACAUAAAAGGUGGCUUCGGCUACCACUUACAGAUGGACCCGCGGCGCAUUAGCUAGUUGGUGAGGUAACGGCUCACCAAGGCGACGAUGCGUAGCCGACCUGAGAGGGUGAUCGGCCACACUGGGACUGAGACACGGCCCAGACUCCUACGGGAGGCAGCAGUAGGGAAUCUUCCGCAAUGGACGAAAGUCUGACGGAGCAACGCCGCGUGAGUGAUGAAGGUUUUCGGAUCGUAAAGCUCUGUUGUUAGGGAAGAACAAGUGCCGUUCAAAUAGGGCGGCACCUUGACGGUACCUAACCAGAAAGCCACGGCUAACUACGUGCCAGCAGCCGCGGUAAUACGUAGGUGGCAAGCGUUGUCCGGAAUUAUUGGGCGUAAAGGGCUCGCAGGCGGUUUCUUAAGUCUGAUGUGAAAGCCCCCGGCUCAACCGGGGAGGGUCAUUGGAAACUGGGGAACUUGAGUGCAGAAGAGGAGAGUGGAAUUCCACGUGUAGCGGUGAAAUGCGUAGAGAUGUGGAGGAACACCAGUGGCGAAGGCGACUCUCUGGUCUGUAACUGACGCUGAGGAGCGAAAGCGUGGGGAGCGAACAGGAUUAGAUACCCUGGUAGUCCACGCCGUAAACGAUGAGUGCUAAGUGUUAGGGGGUUUCCGCCCCUUAGUGCUGCAGCUAACGCAUUAAGCACUCCGCCUGGGGAGUACGGUCGCAAGACUGAAACUCAAAGGAAUUGACGGGGGCCCGCACAAGCGGUGGAGCAUGUGGUUUAAUUCGAAGCAACGCGAAGAACCUUACCAGGUCUUGACAUCCUCUGACAAUCCUAGAGAUAGGACGUCCCCUUCGGGGGCAGAGUGACAGGUGGUGCAUGGUUGUCGUCAGCUCGUGUCGUGAGAUGUUGGGUUAAGUCCCGCAACGAGCGCAACCCUUGAUCUUAGUUGCCAGCAUUCAGUUGGGCACUCUAAGGUGACUGCCGGUGACAACCGGAGGAAGGUGGGGAUGACGUCAAUCAUCUGCCCCUUAUGACCUG